CGUGCAGGUGGUUUGGUAAGUUGGGUAUGAAAUCUCCUGGCUUAACUAGGAGAGGUUGCUCAAAACUGCCAGACUAGAGGACGAUAGAGGAAGGUGGAAUUCCCGGUGUAGUAGUGAAAUGCGUAGAUAUCGGGAGGAACACCAGUGGCGAAGGCGGCCUUCUGGGUCGUUCCUGACACUAAGACGCGAAAGCAUGGGUAGCAAACG
rnacentral:rRNA from 1 species